UACGGAAGGUCCGGGCGUUAUCCGGAUUUAUUGGGUUUAAAGGGAGCGUAGGCCGGCCUUUAAGCGUGUUGUGAAAUGCGGGCGCUCAACGUCUGCACUGCAGCGCGAACUGGAGGUCUUGAGUGUGCGCAACGCAGGUGGAAUUCGUCGUGUAGCGGUGAAAUGCUUAGAUAUGACGAAGAACUCCGAUUGCGAAGGCAGCUUGCGGGAGCACAACUGACGCUGAAGCUCGAAAGUGCGGGUAUCGAACAGG
rnacentral:rRNA from 1 species